AGCGAACGCUGGCGGUAGGCCUAACACAUGCAAGUCGAACGGCAGCACAGUAAGAGCUUGCUCUUACGGGUGGCGAGUGGCGGACGGGUGAGGAAUACAUCGGAAUCUACUUUUUCGUGGGGGAUAACGUAGGGAAACUUACUCUAAUACCGCAUACGACCUACGGGUGAAAGCAGGGGAUCUUCGGACCUUGCGCGAUUGAAUGAGCCGAUGUCGGAUUAGCUAGUUGGCGGGGUAAAGGCCCACCAAGGCGACGAUCCGUAGCUGGUCUGAGAGGAUGGUACGCCACACUGGAAGUGAGACACGGUCCCGACUCCUGCGGGAGGCAGCAGUGGGGAAUAUUAGGCAAUGGGGGCAAGCCUGAUACAGCCAUACCGCGUGGGUGAAGAAGGCCUUCGGGUUGUAAAGCCCUUUUGUUGGGAAAGAAAAGCAGCAGGUUAAUACCCCGCUGUUCUGACGGUACCCAAAGAAUAAGCACCGGCUAACUUCGUG
rnacentral:rRNA from 1 species